GUCUUUAUGUUUAGUAUAUAAAGUCUGGCCUGCCCUUUGUGUAAUUAACGGCCGCAGUAUUUUGACUGUGCUAAGGUAGCAUAAUAAAUAGAUUAUUAAUUGUGAUCUGGAAUGAAAGGUUUAACGUAAUAAUAUCUAUCUUAUAAUUAAAAAUGAAUUUAAAUUAUUAGUAAAAAUGCUAAUAUGUUAUUAAAAGACGAGAAGACCCUAUUAAGUUUUACAUUUUAGUUUUUAUUUAUAGUAUUUCUAAGAUUUAUUAAUGUUUGGUUGGGGCGACUAAUAAUAUAAAACAUUGUUUGAUUUGAUUUUUAUAAAAAUUUUGUGAACCAUAAGUUAUGGAUUAUAGAAUAAAUUACUAUAGGGAUAACAGCGUAAUUAUAUUGGAGAGUUCAUAUUGAUGAUGUAGAUUGCGACCUCGAUGUUGGAUCAGGAUUUCUUAUAGGUGCAGGUGUUUAUUAGGAAGGUCUGUUCGACCUUUAAAAUCCUACG
rnacentral:rRNA from 1 species